CACAAAAUAUGGACAACUCUCUUAGUCUCAAAAACAAGAGUUGCUCCCAUUAAAACCGUAUCCCUACCCAGAUUGGAACUCUGCGGAGCGGUUCUACUAGCUAACCUUGUUAACUCUACCGUAUCCCAACUACACCUAACCCAAUAUAAAAAUUAUUUUUGGACUGACUCAACCAUAGUUCUUGCUUGGUUAAACAAACCACCCUGUUCAUGGACCACUUUCGUUUCUCAUCGAGUAGCUGCAAUCACCGAGAAAGUGGGAGUCGAAAAUUGGAACCAUGUGGAAAGCCAAGACAAUCCCGCAGACUUAGCAAGCCGAGGAUGUACACCCACCGAUCUAUUUAAUUGCAACCUCUGGUGGCAUGGACCCCAAUGGCUACAACAUGAAAAGGAGCAUUUUCCAGCAUCGGAGAAAACAUACAACACUACCGUGGAAUUCAAACCCGUUAAGACGUUUGCGAUAACCACCCAAGAGGAUAUACUCGAAAGGUUUUCCUCAUUCCCCAGAGCUAUUCGCGUUAUCGCUUACCUAUUCAGGUUUUGCGCAAAUGCCUCACCAAGGAGGCGAGAAAUUGAUUACUCAAACCACGAAAUAACCCCGGAAGAGUUCAAAACAACCCGAAUGAAGUUAAUUAUUCACACCCAAAAACACAUUUCCGAGAAGAAUAUGAUGCAUUGACCCGUAAAACCCAAAUACAUAAGAAAAGUUCAUUAUUGACUUUAAAUCCAUUCAUUGACCCUAAAGGAGUUAUGCGAAGUGACGGAAGAUUAACCAAUUCCGCAGCGCUAUCAUAUAAUGAGCGCCACCCUAUCUUAUUACCCUAUAAUAGUCGUAUAACAAAAUUACUAACUCAAUUUACCCAUUUAGCAACGUUACACGGCGGAAAUCAGCUAGUUCUCCGACUCCUAAGGACAGAAUUCUGGAUACCCAAAGCAAAGAUGCUGAUUAAAACAAUAAUUCAUCAAUGCAAAACGUGCAUCAUACACAACAAGGCUCAACAAACCCAAAUAAUGGCAGCUCUUCCAAAUGAACGAACCAUCCUAACCCGGCCGUUUGCUGCCACUGGUAUCGACUUUGCUGGACCUUACGACAUCAAAAACUACACUGGGAGAGCAUGUCUAAUCACCAAAGGAUAUAUAUGUGUAUUUGUAUGCUUCUCAACUAAAGCAAUACAUCUCGAACCCGUUAGCGAUCUCACUACGCAAGCCUUCCUAGCAGCAUUCUCCCGUUUCUUCUCGAGGCGUGGAUGUCCCGCCAAUCUUUAUUCCGACAACGGAACAAACUUUAUAGGAGCUUCACAGUUGCUAAUGAAAGAUCGGCGUGAAUUAUUACAGACACUUCGAACUCAAAUUACAUCUCUCCAUAGCCAUCAAAAUAUCUCAUGGCACUUCAACCCACCAGGAGCUCCACAUAUGGGUGGAUUAUGGGAAGCAGGCGUAAAAAGUCUAAAAACCCACCUAAAAAAGAUCGCAAAACUACAAAAAUUCACGUUUGAAGAAUUUGCUACCCUAUUGACCCGCAUUGAAAGUUGUUUAAACUCUCGGCCAAUAAGCCCCAUAAGCGACGACUCAUCAAACUUGGAACCUCUAACUCCAGGACACUUCCUUAUAGGUACCCCAUUGUUAACCCCUGCCGAACCCAAUUUAGAGGAUGCAAACUUAAGCAUCGUUAACAGAUGGCAGAAACUAAAAAUACUCUACCAGCACAUUUGCAAGAAGAUGGAAGGAAGAGUACCUUAAGGAGCUACACAAACGAUACAAAUGGAAAUAUCCACAACGUAAUAUUGAAGUUAACGACUUAGUCGUUAUAAGAAACGAAAAUAUUUCACCCAACGAAUGGAAGCUCGGUCGAAUACAAAAGGUCUUCCCCGGCUUAGACAAUAAAACACGAGUGGUUGAAAUCCGAACUGCUCAAGGCACAAUAACCCGCCCCAUCACAAAAAUUGUGAUAUUAAACACAGAAUAACAUACAAGUUUUCUCUUCUUUUUUUAGUGAAAUGGCCCCAACAAUCACCAACUCACCCAAACCUCGUCGUAUGAGCUCGACCAUUACCAUCCGGUCCCGUAGCGCAACCCGUAGCAUUACGCCAAUUUCGGAAGACGAAACGAUGUCACGACGCAUGCGGCGUUUCAAGUCGACCCUUCCCACUAUUCGUGAGGAAAAGGAAUGUGAUGAUCGCACAACCCGAAAAACGAUCUCACAUCACAGAAAACCCACGUCACAUCGUCAUGUCGCCUGCGGAAUAUGCAAAAAAGACCACCGUCUAGUGACUUGCGCUACAUACUCUUCAUACAACAUAAAUAAGAAAUACGAAGCAGUAAUAAAACACCACUACUGCGUUAAUUGCUUAGCCAGGUCGCACAAGACAGAAGGAUGCACAAGCAAAAAUCGAUGCUCCACUUGUCAUGGGAAGCAUCAUUCAUCCCUACACGGACAUCCGAGGCUAUACCCGGCCAACGAUGCAAAUACUGUUGAGAAACAUCCACUUGCAAUAGAGACCCGACUACCAUCCUUACUGGCUAAGCAGACCCUAGUACCCACACUGAAGAUCCGUUUAAGAUGCGAUGGCGAAUGGUAUAAAGUUCGAGCCAUUUUGAACCCUACCCUCAAAAUUACAAAUAUAGCGGCCGAACUCGUUAAAAAAUUAAAACUGCCAAUUACAUACCUCAACACUUAUCGUAUUUGUAGCAUCAAAAUUAGCUCAAAUAAUGAUACAAAGUUUUGUUUGGAAUGUAACGCAGUUAUAACACACAAGUUACCCAAAAAACCAUGUGAGCGAGACUUAAGUGACGAUGUGCAUAUGCGCUUUGAACAUUUAGUCCUCGCUGACCCUCAAUUCCACAGCAACAAAGAGCUAACGUUGGAGAUUGGAGCGGAUAUAUACCCUCAAAUUAUCAGAAGUGGACUCUUCAAACCCGAUAAUGGUACAGUGGUGGCGCAGAAUACAGCAUUUGGCUGGACCCUUACUGGCACCAUCUAACCCUAAAUUCUGCAAGGUGGCCGGGAUGUUUAAUCCAAACAAAUACUCCUCUGCAUUACUCCCACAAAUUACAAAAAGUAAUAGAGGCGUAAUGUAGAGGAGUAUCAACCGCCCCAACUUCACGCAACAGUCGAAAAAGGAGAAACGAAGAAAACAUUUUCCCGCGCUUUUUAGCAAAAAGAUAUUAUUAUCCCGCCAACACAGGAGUGAACAUCGAAAGCGAAGCUGCGCCAUAAAAUAAAACAUUUAUUCUCAACUAUAACAAGUGAACUAUAAGUGACAUAGAAGUGAACAAAAUCAAGCGAAUUCUAUAAUUACAUAAAGCGAUACAAGCGAACACGGACAACAAAUUUACGUUUAUUACAAUAUAGUGAACACGGAGAGUGAAAGUGUGUCAUCCGGUCAUAUAUACAUAAAGGAAAACAUUUGGUACCUUUUCUUCAACAACAACCCCUUGUUCAACAACAACAACACAGGAAUCAUAAUCCACAACAGGUUGUAAUAAUUAAAUAAACUAACAUAGAAUUACAUAUAAUAUAUCUCUACAAAAUAAACCAAUUAACCCGUAUUGGAAAAACACACACACCCAUAUAUUUAUAUAUACACACAAUUAUAUUUGUAUAUAUCCUAAUUGAAUAUUAAACCAGAGUUUUAUAACGUUUAAACUGAAAUUAAUUAUCUUUUAAUUAUUCGCAAUCUACCCCAUACGUCGAUAUACCCCGACAGUAUGAAUUGCGUAAACUUUGUCUUGCCACGAUACGGAAAGAAUUGCUCAUCAAUCGUUACAUUUUCAUGCGGC